GCCUCUGUGGUCCAGUGGUUGGGCGUUGGACUCAAGAUCCGGAGGCACCGGGUUCGAAUCCCGGUGGGGACA
rnacentral:tRNA from 1 species